rnacentral:rRNA from 1 species
UACGUAGGGUGCGAGCGUUGUCCGGAAUUACUGGGCGUAAAGAGCGCGCAGGCGGUCGUUCAAGUCGCGUGUGAAAGCCCCCGGCUCAACUGGGGAGGGUCACGCGAUACUGAUCGACUCGAAGGCAGGAGAGGGAAGUGGAAUUCCCGGUGUAGUGGUGAAAUGCGUAGAUAUCGGGAGGAACACCAGUGGCGAAGGCGACUUCCUGGCCUGUUCUUGACGCUGAGGCGCGAAAGCUAGGGGAGCAAACGGG